rnacentral:rRNA from 1 species
GGCGGCGUGCUUAACACAUGCAAGUCGAGCGGAAAGGCCCCUUCGGGGGUACUCGAGCGGCGAACGGGUGAGUAACACGUGAGCAACCUGCCCCUGACUCUGGGAUAAGCCCGGGAAACUGGGUCUAAUACCGGAUAUGACCACUCCGGGCAUCUGGUGGUGGUGGAAAGUUUUUCGGUUGGGGAUGGGCUCGCGGCCUAUCAGCUUGUUGGUGGGGUGAUGGCCUACCAAGGCGACGACGGGUAACCGGCCUGAGAGGGCGACCGGUCACACUGGGACUGAGACACGGCCCAGACUCCUACGGGAGGCAGCAGUGGGGAAUAUUGCGCAAUGGGCGGAAGCCUGACGCAGCGACGCCGCGUGGGGGAUGACGGCCUUCGGGUUGUAAACCUCUUUCAGCAGGGACGAAGCUAACGUGACGGUACCUGCAGAAGAAGCGCCGGCUAACUACGUGCCAGCAGCCGCGGUAAUACGUAGGGCGCAAGCGUUGUCCGGAAUUAUUGGGCGUAAAGAGCUCGUAGGCGGUUUGUUGCGUCCGUCGUGAAAGCCCACGGCUUAACCGUGGGUCUGCGGUGGAUACGGGCAGACUAGAGGCAGGUAGGGGAGAACGGAAUUCCCGGUGUAGCGGUGAAAUGCGCAGAUAUCGGGAGGAACACCGGUGGCGAAGGCGGUUCUCUGGGCCUGUACUGACGCUGAGGAGCGAAAGCGUGGGGAGCGAACAGGAUUAGAUACCCUGGUAGUCCACGCCGUAAACGUUGGGCGCUAGGUGUGGGGUCCUUCCACGGAUUCCGCGCCGCAGCUAACGCAUUAAGCGCCCCGCCUGGGGAGUACGGCCGC